GGUGGUGGUGGUGAUGAUUUUUCUUGUGUCCAGUUUGGGUCCAGUUUGGGAGCCUCUGGUGGAGCAAGUAAUUGGGAUUCCUACAGUGACCAUUUCACCAUUGAAACCUGCAAAGAGACAGAUAUGCUGAACUACCUCAUCGAGUGUUUCGACCGAGUUGGAAUAGAGGAAAAAAAAGCACCAAAGAUGUGCAGCCAGCCAGCAGUCAGCCAGCUUCUGAGCAACAUCCGCUCACAGUGCAUAUCCCAUACUGCUUUAGUACUACAAGGCUCCCUAACACAGCCCAGGUCCUUGCAGCAGCCGUCCUUCCUAGUGCCGUAUAUGCUGUGUAGGAAUCUCCCAUAUGGCUUCAUUCAGGAACUGGUGAGAACCACUCACCAGGAUGAAGAAGUGUUCAAGCAGAUAUUUAUCCCCAUUUUACAAGGCCUGGCUCUUGCUGCCAAAGAGUGCUCCCUCGACAGUGACUACUUUAAAUACCCCCUCAUGGCACUAGGUGAGCUCUGUGAAACCAAGUUUGGGAAGACACACCCUGUGUGCAAUUUGGUUGCUUCUUUGCGGUUGUGGUUGCCGAAAUCCUUAAGUCCUGGCUGUGGGCGGGAGCUGCAGAGACUCUCUUACUUAGGGGCUUUCUUUAGCUUCUCAGUCUUUGCAGAAGAUGAUGUUAAAGUGGUUGAAAAAUACUUCUCAGGGCCUGCCAUUACCCUGGAAAACACUCGUGUGGUUAGCCAAUCAUUGCAGCAUUACUUAGAGCUCGGAAGGCAAGAGCUUUUUAAGAUUCUGCAUAGUAUUUUGUUAAAUGGCGAAACCCGUGAGGCUGCUCUCAGUUACAUGGCGGCUGUCGUCAAUGCCAAUAUGAAGAAAGCACAGAUGC
rnacentral:sRNA from 1 species